GACGUAGGGCGCGAGCGUUGUCCGGAUUUAUUGGGCGUAAAGAGCGUGUAGGCGGCUUUACAGGUCCGUUGUGAAAACUCGAGGCUCAACCUCGAGACGCCGGUGGAAACCGUGAGGCUAGAGUCCGGAAGAGGAGAGUGGAAUUCCUGGUGUAGCGGUGAAAUGCGCAGAUAUCAGGAAGAACACCCGUGGCGAAAGCACUCUGCUGGGCCGACACUGACACUGAGAGACGAAAGCUAGGGGAGCGAAUGGG
rnacentral:rRNA from 1 species